CAGCUAGAAUGAUGGAUUGUCAUCACUGGGGCACGGGAAAGGGGUUGAGCAAGUCAAUGUAUGUUUUCCAGAGCCUACAGAAUGUGUCUGAUUCUCUGAAGUAUAUUUUUUCUAAAUGCCAGGCAUCAUGUCAACAGGGACAAGAUGGUUCACCUAAUCAAUAAAGACUACAUCCAGCCAGAUAAGGACACAACCAGGUAUACUCUUCCACUAACAGUCCUUACCAGAGGACUCUGUGACCUUAAAAAGAGCAGGACGCCACCAAUUCAAAACCACUGUGUUAACAGACACCAUAUUGCUGUCACUUGUGAUAAGCACCUAGUAUCUGCUGCUGAAGGCUCUGCCUACAUCACAGACUCUUGAUGGACAGAUGGAUGACCCAGACCCAGGACAGGAUACUCUUUUUGUCCACGUCUCUCCCUGGACUGGUUAAAUUAACUCUUUUUCUGUCCCCUUUUACUUAAUGUUAAAUGUUACUUUGUUUGUUGUGAUAUGUUUAGUCUAUGACAUUUACAAAUUGAUUAAGUAUACUAUUUAUUUAUGGUUUGCAAUGUUGACCGACUUGUGGAGUGGCUUGAGCCUGUGGCUGUGACUACUGAGUGAACAGGACGGAU
ensembl:lncRNA LINC01098 long intergenic non-protein coding RNA 1098